AAAUACAUAUGCAUCUGGGUAGGGCUGUGCUUUGGAAGACACCCUGAAGUAGAAGCAAAAAGAUUCUUUGCUUAAAGCAUUAAAACCACCACCACAACCAACGGCAACAAAACCAACAAAACCUAGGACAAACGAGUUUUGUGGCAACAACAAUAAAAGCCCAGGUCAGGCUGCCUAAAUCUGGAAGAAUUCAGCCCCAUUGACUUCCUUUGCUCUUGGCUGAUUUACAUGGAGUAUAGUGAUCUCCAAGGCCACGGUAUUCAAAGAAUUUCACCGUUUCAAGAACUGCUGACAGCCCACCACUCCAGAUCAAUCCGGUUCAUGGCAAAGUCACUGGGGAAGUCGUUUUAUAGGUGUACAGUGAUGGACGUGGCCUUGGUACCUACCUUCAGAGGGCAUAUAAUCAGUCUACUGAAAAAAAGAAAGCCUGUAUGUAAACAGCAAAGUAUUGCUGUGAUUACCGGAUGUAGACAGAGUACCAGAGAAGGGGGAAAUUAUCUCCGGCUGGAGGAAAGAGGAAAGCGUUCCCACAUCCAUGGACGAAUUCCAAGCCUUCUCAGUGAAAAAUGUCCUGUGGCAAAGGGUCCAGAAAAGCAGGCAGAGGUCCCCUGGGGAGUGCAGGUAGCUCUGCUUCUUUAGGCUGGAGACUUGUGUGGAUGGAGGGAAAGUCAGAUCAUGUAGGGCCUUGAAUGCCAAGCUGAACAAAACGAACAAUUUUCUUUGCAAAGACCUGUAUAGUCAAAGCUAUGGUUUUUCCAGUAGUCAUGUACAAAUGUGAGAGUUGGACCAUAAAGAAGGCUGAGUGCCAAAGAAUUGAUGCCUUAGAAUGUGGUGCUGGAGAAGACUCUUGAGAGUCCCUUGGACUGCAGGAAGAUCAAACCUGUCAAUCCUAAAGAAAAGCAACCCUGAAUAUUCGUUUGAAGGACUGACGCUGAAGCUGAAGCUCCAAUACUUUGGCCACCUGCUAUGAAGAGCCGACUCAGUGGAAAAGACCCUGAUGCUGGGAAAGAUUGAAGGCAGGAGGAGAAGGAGAUAAUAGACGAUGAGAUGAUUAGAUAGCAUCACCAACUCAAUGGACAUGAAUUUGAGCAAACUCUGAGAAGGACUGGGAAGCCUGGCAUGCUGCAGUCCAUGGGGUCACAAAGAAUCAGACACAACUUAGCAACUGAACAACAACAGGUAAUAAUAGGAGAUUUUGGAACAGGAGAGGAUUACGGUGAAAUGUAUGGUUCAAGAAAAUUAGUCCUCUGCUGUUGUAUAACAUGGAUGGAGAAGGGUGAAAGGAUGGUCAGAGUGUGAAUGCAGACAGAGGAUGUCACAGUCAUUAAGGAGUGAGCAUAUGCCACCGAAUGGGGCCAGACAGCUCAGCGCAGGAAAACCAUCCCCGAGAAUCAGAUGUGUUAAACUCUCAGGAGGGAUGGAGCCUGUUAUGGGGACGGUGGAGGGAGAAGGGAUUUAAGUAUUCAUCUCCACGCCUGGGAGAGUGAAGGUAGCAUCAAAUUAAUAGAAAUGGGAAAAACAGACCCAGAAACAGGCUUGGGAAUAAAAUAGUAAUCUUGGAUUACAUGCCCUACACAAUGUUCCAUGUCAGUGUUUCACACUUUCUGCAAAAGAGUGAUUUCCACAGUUUAUUAGCCAAGCAUUUGCAUCUCCAGAUACUGUUUUCUUUCUAAAUUAAUAUAAGGAUUUCAUUAAUUUACUAAGUUACGUUGCUGGAAUAAGGCAGUUCCCUAAUAUUUGGAACUAAUAUCAGUCCCUUCAUGGAUGUUUGCCACUACUCAAUGCCUCAGUUCCUAGCAACUAACCUCUUUAAUUAGAGAAAAUAAUGAAAUGAGUGUAAAUCACAUUCUGCUUUUGGAAAUUCAGUCAUCUAUGUGAUGUCAGCCUUCAUUUUAGAGUUAUUUUAAAAAUGUGUGUAAGAAGUACACAGAGUUAGCUUAUGAUCUGUGUGUGCUGAUGGAGAUACUGUCAUCCCUUGGUACCCUUGUGGGGUUGGUUCUAGGACCCUGAAAAAAAAGUGAAAGUGCUGGUCGUGUCCCGACUCCACUCCUUGCGACUCCAUGGACUGCAGCCCACCAGACUCCUCUGUCCACGGAAUUCUCCAGGCGAGAGUACUGACGUGAGCAGCCAUUUCAGGGGGUCUUCUAGACCUAGGGAUGGAACCCGGGCGUCCUGCACUGCAGGCAGAUUUUUUACCAUCAGGGCCACCAGGGACCCUCCCUGAUACCAAAAUUUACGAUACUAAAGUUCCUUGUAUAAAAUGGUGUAGUAUUUGCAUUUAACCUAAGCACAUCCUCCUGUGUACUUUAAAUUAUCUAUAGAUUACCUAUAAUGCCAAAUGCGAUGUAAAUACUGUGUACGUAAUUUCCUGCACAUGGCAAAUUUCAAGUUUUGCCUUUUGGAACUUUCUGGAAUUUUGUCUAGAUAUUUUCAAUACACAGUUUGUUGACUCUGCAGAUGUAGAACUCACAGAUACAGAGUUGACUGUAUUUCUUUAGAACAUGACCUCCAAAGUUUUUUUGUAAAGGGAUUGAUUUUUAUUUCUCUGAAU
ensembl:lncRNA